GAUUUCUGACGAAACUGCUAGCUGGCCCGCCACGCAAGUGUGUGAGUGCCGGCUUGGCGUUUGUCAUCCGUUCGAAUGAUAUGCGUGCUGCCCUUCACUGGGUUGGCGCUGCAUGUUUUCGAUCUUUUACUUUGAAAAAAUUAGAGUGUUUCAAGCAGGCAUGUUUUGCUAUGAAUACAUUAGCAUGGAAUAAUAAUCUAGGACUUUCGGUUCUAUUUUGUUGGUGUUCUGGAGCUGAAGUAAUGAUUGAUAGGGAUAGUUGGGGGUGCUAGUAUUCAAUGGCCAGAGGUGAAAUUCUCGGAUUCCUUGAAGACUAACUUAUGCGAAAGCAUU
rnacentral:rRNA from 3 species